GGGUACUUGUCCUGAGCAGGAACAACAAGAGGAGCCCUCCCCUGAGGAAGCGCUCAGGAAAUUGCCAGGCUUUGACAAGAGAGCUCAGCAACAAUGGCAGUUCCCAGUUGGAGACAAAUGAGCAGCUCAGCGGUGGGAAUGGCAGCCAUGCACCCAGCAUGCACUUGGGCUGCUCACCCAAGCCUUCUUCACACUGCAACCGAUUAUUUCAGUCGGCCCCAAACAUCUGCAUGGCAAAGAUGACAGAAUAUGAGGGAAUCUUGCCGUUCCUGAGCCCCCAGCCCUCCCGGAGAGCUGGGCAUGGGGCUGUAUCCUAGGCUGUCCUUUCUUCAGCCAAGAUGCGUGCACUCCAACCAGAGAAAAUCAUAUUCUCCAAUGAGUUAUGGGAAAUGCGUUGCACAAUGCACAAAGACUCAAAUGUCAGGUCAUUUAGAUUAAAAACCUAUGUGGAAACACUAA